CCGGCACGGGUGAGUAACACGUAUCCAACCUGCCGUCUACUCUUGGACAGCCUUCUGAAAGGAAGAUUAAUACAAGAUGGCAUCAUGAGUCCGCAUGUUCACAUGAUUAAAGGUAUUCGGUAGACGAUGGGGAUGCGUUCCAUUAGAUAGUAGGCGGGGUAACGGCCCACCUAGUCUUCGAUGGAUAGGGGUUCUGAGAGGAAGGUCCCCCACAUUGGAACUGAGACACGGUCCAA
rnacentral:rRNA from 1 species